AGGCAAUUCACCAAUAAGCUUCAGAUUGUUUGUUCUGAUAAUAGAAAUAUCAUCCUAGCUCUAACUAAAUUACUGCAAUCUAUGGCACUCUAACAGACUGACCACUAUUAAAAGAUUCCUGUACAGUGAAGAACUGAUUAGUGUUCAGGGGCAUAAGGCUCCAGUAAGCACCAUUUUUGUCUAUACAACAGCUGUGCCAUUUGAUUUGGUAAGAACCCACAGGGAAUGCAGAAACAUUUAGCAAGCAGGUUGCAAAUCCUUGCCCUUUCUCAUUAGGAUCAAAACACACAAAUUUAUCCACAGCCGAACUCCCUCCAGCAUUUUCCAUAGCACGUAAUCCAUCCCUCUCGGUAGUCCCUGUUGUGAAGUGCAAUAGUUUGUCAUUAAGGCCUACCAUGUGAUCGCUUUUCCAAGCUUGGCAAAUGGACUCUGAUACCUUCUUAUCCCUGUUUGCACUGAAUACUUGAAAGGAUGUCCUUGAGUGAAGGAUGCAAUACAACUUCGACACUUGAGACAGCUGGUCUUGCGAUAUAUUUCUUAGCUGAAUACACAGAGUUAGAGGGAGCUGAAAGCCUGAGAAGACAGAUAUAUCGUCUAUCCUUUUACCAUCUUCAUUUGUUAUGAAAAGUUCAGCAGAAAUAGGGGGCCUUAAUUGAAAAAAAUGCUUGGGAGUCCGAAAAGGAAUCUGUAUCCACGAGAAAAUAAUAUUGAACAGCAACGGCAAAGCAUCACGAGGAAUUUGGGAUAUACCAUUAUUUUCAUGUACAAGAAUCGCUUGCAAACUAAGAAGUCUCUGAACGGAAUAUUUACAAAGUUUAGCAAUAUCUCUUGCUUCAACAGAAGUUGUAGAGACUUCAUUUCGGAAUUCUUGCGUGGAACAGCUCCUAGAGCUUCGAUGGAAAUCCA
rnacentral:misc_RNA from 1 species